rnacentral:rRNA from 1 species
AGCGGCGGACGGGUGAGUAACACGUGGGUAACCUACCUAUAAGACUGGGAUAACUCCGGGAAACCGGGGCUAAUACCGGAUAAUACAUGAAACCGCAUGGUUUCAUGAUGAAAGACGGUUUUGCUGUCACUUAUAGAUGGACCCGCGGCGUAUUAGCUAGUUGGUAAGGUAACGGCUUACCAAGGCAACGAUACGUAGCCGACCUGAGAGGGUGAUCGGCCACACUGGAACUGAGACACGGUCCAGACUCCUACGGGAGGCAGCAGAG